AUGUCUAUUAAAAAAAAAUCACUAUGCUCUUUACAAAACUUUUGUUCAGAAUACACCAUUUUGAUGUUCUGUCAGAAGGGAGGCCCACUGUCUUUGAAAACAAUUGGAUGCCAUCUGUUAAAUUACACCAUAAAUUCCAGUGGCCUGAUAAAUAUCCUGAACUUGUUUAUAUUGAAAAUAAAUAUCUUUAAGGUCCAUGGCCCCAGUUUGUACAUCACUGAUGACAACAAUGUGGCUCUGUUUCCUGCGCCUGAUGGCCACUUCAGUCUUCUUGACCUCACAGUAAGGGGGCAUUAUGAGGUGCACGGUGAGAGCAUCACCGUGGAGUGUUCACCUAAUACACCUGUAACGCCCAACCCUACUCGCUUUUCCUUCCACCAGCCAGUCAGUGCAGCAGCGGGUUCUGCAACUGGUUCUUCUGCAGUUCCAAGAGCAACUAUGCCAAAAACUUUCCAAAGGCAUGUGACAAUGUGAUACAUGCAUCUUCCCAAAUUAGUAAUGAGAAUAAUUUAUAAAUCUGCUGCUGUCAACAAAAAGAAGAACUGAGGACUUCCUGCGGGCUUCCGUACAAAAUAAAAGCUCCAUCAACAUUCAUAAUUAAUGUUAGUAUUGUAAUAUUACUGUUGUUCUGUUAAAUAAAAUUGAAAAGUAAGACAAUAAUAAUGAUAAUAAUUACAACAGCUCUAUUAAUAGGCUACAUUUAUUAUAACUCUGUAAUAUUUUCUAAUGUUUUAAAAGAAUGCCCUUCUGCUCAGCAAGGUUACAUUUAUUUGCAAGUCUGAUUCAAGAAGGGGGUCUCAAAAAUGGCCACAAAAUAAAAAUAAAAAAUCAUCAGUGUUAUUUUUUAAGUAUUUUUUUAAAUUGCUGUUUUGUAUUAGUGUACAAUGUUUAAAAAUAAUAAUUUGUUCCAUGUAGUGUCCAUUUCAUUCAUUUAACAUUUAAUAUUGGAGGCAUCCAAGUUAUUUGACAUAGGUAAUUUUUUUUUAAAGAACGCAAUUACUUUCCCUGGUUACUUUUAUAAUGAUGUAACUCAGUUACUAUUUGUGAGAAGUAACUAGUAACUAUAACUAAAUACUUUUUUUUAAGUAACUUGCCCAACACUAAAAUGCUGCUUCUGCCACCUUAUGACAAUAGAUUUACACUUGAAUUAGGUCGUCUGUCAUUAAUGACAGCAGCUCAUUGGAAAAGGAUGAAAAAUGCCCUUCAUUGUGUUUGCACUAAUAAAUGCUGCUGCCUCCCUGCAGCAAUCAACCUUGUUCCAUAUUUAUUUGUAUAUCGUCAUAAAUAUUAAUAUCGCAAAUAUUCUUGAAAUAUCGUGAUAUAAUUUUGAGGCUAUAUCGCCCACCCCUACUAUACACACGUGGUCAGAAGUUGGUACCGUGGUAAAUAUGAUCAAAGAAGGCUGUGGAAAUAAAUGUGCAUUGUUAAUCCUUUUGAUCUUUUAUUUAGAAAAUCACAAAAAUCUAACCUUUCAUUGCAGAAUAAGAAUUUAAAAUGGGGGGAAUAUCAUUAUGAAAUAAAGGUUUUUUUUUUCUUUUGUUUUUUUCUCAAAUACAUGUUGGACACAAUUACUGGUACCCUUAGAAAUUCUUAUGAGUAAAAUAUAUCUGAAAUAUAUUCCCACUCAUAUUCACAUUUGUGAGCCCACCAGUGUGAUUAUGAACAUGAAAUUAUCCAGCCUUGGCUUCCUGUUUCACAGAAAUAUAAAUAGGAGAGAAAACAAAACAAAGGCCAAAUUCCAAAUUAAUCACCCAUCACAAUGAGAAAAACCAAAGAAUAUAUUUCUGAUGUGCAGCAAAAGAUAAUUGUCUUCUAUGGUCAGAUGUAACUAAAAAAUGAGCUUUUUAGCAGCAAACACUCAGGAUGGGUUUGGUGAACACAGGGAUAAAAGUACCCCAUGUGUACAAUGAAAUAUACUGCUGUAUUUUUGAUGUUGUGGGUCUAUAUUUCUGCUGGAGGUCCUGGACAUCUUGUUUAGAUACAUGGCAUCUUUGAUUCUAUCAAAUACCAACAGAUAAAAAAUCAAAAAGUGACUGACUCUGUUAGAAAUCUUAUAAUGGACCAUGUUUGGAUCUUCCAUCCGGACAAUAAUACUAAAACAAACCUACAAAACAACACAGAAAUGGGUCACUGAGCACAAAACCAAGCUUCUGCUAUGGCCAUUCCAGUCCUCUGAC
rnacentral:lncRNA from 1 species